GCUACGUGCGAUCUAAAAUGGGUUGGCACAAGAAACAGAGCUAUAACAUGUGGUACAGCUUGUAGAAUCCCGUCAAUUGGGUGAAAUGCCAAACCUGAAAUAGGCCAAUAACUUCCAAUAAGUGAUCCUUGUAAAGGUAAACAAUUAAAGAUGACUUGGUUCAAAAAGCAUGUAAAGGUAAACAAUUAAAGAUGACUUGGUUCAAAAAGCAAUCCUAAAUGCAAAGGUCAGAGUUUAACGAGUUUUUGACAAUUUUUUCACUGAAUUCCUCAAAAGCACCACAUUGAAUUCUAAAAUUCAGAAAUACCAAGUCACCGGACGUGCAAGAAAAAAACCCACUAAGUAAGCGAAUGUGUAAGAUAAAAGUUCCAUAAACGUGGUGUCUUCCUCUAAUGUAGAGGUCACCUGAUGUUGCUGCAAUUAUCAACGAAGUUUCUUCAAAUUCAUCAAUGGUUCCGCAGUCUUACACUCUUCUAUUUGUGGGUGGCUUCUACAUUUACACUGCUGUUUUGGAACUUACAUCCAACAUUCAUUAACUAGAUCAUACAAUGUGGAUUCGUGUCCCACACAUUGAGUGACUUGGUCAAACAAGGUGAGCUUUAUUGGGAUCAUAUCAGGUCACCUUCUGGCCAGAUAUGGAUUGCUUAUUGUCGAAAUUCAGCAACAAAGAAGGCAGUUCUAUAACAGUCACCUUUCUUCUUCUUUUUAACUUGUAACAAAGUAAUGUGACAGUAAUUUGCAAGGGAAGGCAUUCCUUCGUUGUCACUACUCAACAGUGACAAAUGAUAUCCAGAACAAAGUUCACCGGCUGUCCCUCAGAUCUGGUCAAGGUCUUAUCGGCUAUGCCAUGUUUGGUAACACUUGUAAACUGGCAAGGAACCACUUGGGAAAUGGCAUGAGAUAUUGCACGAGGAGGUCAGAUUUGGGUAAAGGAAUUUUAAGGCAUUGUAGAAUUUGCCUAAUAACAAAUU
rnacentral:lncRNA from 1 species